CUUCUCCAGUGGCCAGAGCUAGCUGGGCCAAGUGGCAGGCGGCCAGAGGAAAGCUUGGGCCAGGACUGCAGAUUCCACAGGGCAGAGGUCAAGGUGUCAGAGGCGCUGGUUCCUUCCACAGGCUCUGCAGGGAAAAGCCACCUCGUGGCUUCGAGGGGCCGCCUGUGUUCCUCGGCUUGUGGCCCCACCCCCCAUCCUCAAGGUGCGUCACACCAGUCCACAGCUGUCGCCCUGCCCCCUCUUACUACUCACAUCCUGCCUCUCUCUUGUGAUCCCCGCAGGAGGACAGCAGAGCCAGG